GGGGCUGUAGCGCAGUUGGGAGCGCGUCUCAAUGGCAUUGAGAAGGUCAGGGGUUCGAAUCCCCUCAGCUCCACCA
rnacentral:tRNA from 1 species